UCUCUUGGUUCUGGCAUCGAUGAAGAACGCAGCGAAAUGCGAUAAGUAAUGUGAAUUGCACAAUUCAGUGAAUCAUCGAAUCUUUGAACGCACAUUGCGCCCGGUGGUAUUCCGCCGGGCAUGCCUGUUCGAGCGUCAUUAUAACCAAUCAUGCCUGGCAUGGUGUUGGGGCACGCGGUCUCGCGGCCCUCAAAAUCAGUGGCGGUGCCGGCAGGCUCUAAGCGUAGUAAUUCUUCUCGCUACGGGGUCCUGCGGGUGGCUUGCCAGAACCCCCCAUUUUUUCAGGUUGACCUCGGAUCAGGUAGGGAUACCCGCUGAACUUAAGCAUAUCAAUAAGCGGAGGAAAAGAAACCAACAGGGAUUACCUCAGUAACGGCGAGUGAAGCGGUAACAGCUCAAAUUUGAAAGCUCCCCACAGGGCGCAUUGUAAUUUGUAGAGGAUGCUUUGGGGGUCGGCCCGGUUUAAGUUCCUUGGAACAGGACGUCAUAGAGGGUGAGAAUCCCGUAUGUGACCGGUGCUAGCCUUCGUGUAAAGCUCCUUCGACGAGUCGAGUUGUUUGGGAAUGCAGCUCAAAAUGGGUGGUAUAUUUCAUCUAAAGCUAAAUAUUGGCCAGAGACCGAUAGCGCACAAGUAGAGUGAUCGAAAGAUGAAAAGCACUUUGGAAAGAGAGUUAAACAGUACGUGAAAUUGUUGAAAGGGAAGCGCUUGC
rnacentral:rRNA from 1 species